AACCAGCACCUCAAGUGGUCAGGAUGAUUAUUGGGCCUAAAGCAUCCGUAGCCGGCUCUGUUAGUUUUCGGUUAAAUCUAUGUGCUCAACGCAUGGGCUGCCGAAAAUACUGCAGAGCUAGGGAGUGGGAGAGGUAGACGGUACUCAGUAGGAAGGGGUAAAAUCCUUUGAUCUAUUGAUGACCACCUGUGGCGAAGGCGGUCUACCAGAACACGUCCGACGGUGAGGGAUGAAAGCUGGGGGAGCAAACCGG
rnacentral:rRNA from 1 species